ACCUAAUAAGCUCCACAUCAGAAAAAUUUACAUCUUGGAUUUUUCAUUGCCCACAAUGUAUAUAGAACAGCUCUCACCCAUGUAUGGAAGGAACAAUUGCUUCACAUGUCACUUCUUGGCUUUGAGCGAGCAAAGGAGACAUCAAUCGCAGACAUGGAAGAUAUUUUUUAUGAGUUUUGAAUUAAAGAAAGGAAGGAUGUUGGUUGGAGAAGCUGUCGAGACACAAUAGCAAAAGAAGAACGAAAGGGAGGAAGAAAGCUUUCGCUUUUGGAGGCUCGGGUUUUUCCUUAAUUCAGGGUGGAAUUACACAAUUCUCAAU
rnacentral:misc_RNA from 1 species